rnacentral:rRNA from 1 species
AUGCACGCUGGCGGCGUGCCUAAUACCUGCAAGACGAGCGAACAGACGAGGAGCUUGCUCCUCUGACGUUAGCGGCGGACGGGUGAGUAACACGUGGAUAACCUACCUAUAAGACUGGGAUAACUUCGGGAAACCGGAGCUAAUACCGGAUAAUAUAUUGAACCGCAUGGUUCAAUAGUGAAAGACGGUUUUGCUGUCACUUAUAGAUGGAUCCGCGCCGCAUUAGCUAGUUGGUAAGGUAACGGCUUACCAAGGCAACGAUGCGUAGCCGACCUGAGAGGGUGAUCGGCCACACUGGAACUGAGACACGGUCCAGACUCCUACGGGAGGCAGCAGUAGGGAAUCUUCCGCAAUGGGCGAAAGCCUGACGGAGCAACGCCGCGUGAGUGAUGAAGGUCUUCGGAUCGUAAAACUCUGUUAUUAGGGAAGAACAAAUGUGUAAGUAACUAUGCACGUCUUGACGGUACCUAAUCAGAAAGCCACGGCUAACUACGUG